GGCCUCAUCGUCUAAUGGUUAGGACGCCUGGUUCUCAUCCAGGUAAUAGGGGUUCGAUUCCCCUUGAGGCUACAA
rnacentral:tRNA from 1 species